AGAGAGAGACAUGCGCGCAUAUCAAUAAGCGGAGGAAAAGAAACUAACAAGGAUUCCCCUAGUAACGGCGAGUGAAGCGGGAAGAGCUCAAAUUUGAAAUCUUAAAGGGUUUCCCUUUACGAAUUGUAGUUUAAAGAAGUGUUUUCUGUUGAGGUUUUGGUAAAAGUUCUUUGGAAUAGGACAUCAUAGAGGGUGAGAAUCCCGUAUUUGACCUUUACUUUCAACUUUGUGAUACACUUUCAAAGAGUCGGAUUGUUUGGGAAUGCAGUCCAAAAUGGGUGGUAAAUUUCAUCUAAAGCUAAAUAUUGGCGAGAGACCGAUAGCGAACAAGUACCGUGAGGGAAAGAUGAAAAGAACUUUGAAGAGAGAGUUAAACAGUACGUGAAAUUGUCAAAAGGGAAGCGUUUGACACCAGUGUUGUUUUUCUGAAAAUCAAUUAAAGAACUGUUUAUGCUAAGCUGUUUAGACUUUAUCAGCUAACUGUUUAGUUUUGAGCUUUUCUUUAAUGCACUUUUCAGUUAACAAGUCAACAUCAAUUUCUUUUGCUGUAAAAAAGGCUUGAGGAAGGUGGCUUGAGAUUCGUCUUAAGUGUUUAUAGCCUCUUGCCUAUGCAGUCGGAGAGAUUGAGGUCUGCAGCGUAGAUCCUUCGGGGCUAAAUGCAUUUGUGCUAAGUUAUAGCAUUUUAUAGACAACUUGUUGACUAUGAUUUGUCUUGUAGCUUACUCGCUUAUGUUAUUUUACCUACGCUUAGGAUGUUGAGCGCAUGUCUCUCUCU
rnacentral:rRNA from 1 species